GAGUUGUUUUAUCACGAUGUGCUUGCUGCCCUGGACUUCUUUGGGAGGACAUGUGAAUAAAUACACGGGACCUCUUCAUGGCUGUUUGGCCUGGCCUGGCUUGCAAUUCAUUGCAUCAGCCACCCAGCCCAAUACGACAAUGGCACAUGAAAGGACCAUACCCCAAACCUGAAAAGGAUUGUAGCGUAAAGAAAACAUGAAUUGGUAGAUGCAGUGGCUAGUGGAUACAGAACGAAGUCAAAUCGAUGCUAGCCUGUUAGGUCAAUGGAAUGCUUUGGAACCAGCACCAGCCAACAGAUCCCAUCCCUACUGAGUGAUAUGGUUGUAAAAAACCCACCACCAUAAAAGCACAAUCCAACUUACAUUAUGAUUGGAUAAACCAAUCCAAAGUGGAAAUCCAUCUCUUUUUACAAUAUUUUCCAGGAACACUUGCUGCGAUUCACUGUGUACAGUGGCUAAAUCACUGCCAUUUUGUUUGCAUUCUCUCCAUGCAUCAUACCAACUGAGUUGUUUUUGAAGUACCCAGUAUGUGUUGUUUCCAUGGGGUAGUAUCUUAGGCAGUGGUGGAUUGUAUUCUUUGGGUCCUAUUUCAAUAUUACAACAAGGAUAAAAGUUUUGUUUUAGUUUAGGCAAAUGGAACAGAAAUAUCAAUAGGUGUUUUGGAAAUUCAAUUGAAAUUACAGAUGUCCCUUACCCAUUUCUAUUUUACAGACAAGGAUGCUGUGUAGGUUAAAUUGCACAGGCAGCCACUUAUCAGUGUAAUUGUAAAUAUCCCAGGCACCAUCUAGGCCAAUACCAGCAACAAACAUAUUAUUCUUUAUGUAAGGUCUCCCCAGUCUCCAGUUAUUGUAUGAUAGGUAUGUAUCAUCAUCCCACUUUAGAGUGUCAUCUGUGAAGAAAACAAACACAAAGAUUCCGUAAUGAGGUCUGAUUUUAUUUAAUGACAGGACAGUGCUGAAAUCAGCCUACACAGGGUUAAUAUUAACAUUACUAGAGGGACACUAUUAACCAGCACUUGGCCUAGAAAUGGAAGGAUAUACCUUUGUGCCUGCUAUUUGGAUGUGGUAUGGUUUGUUGAAGGUCUCAAAACAUUUUGCUUGAAGCUUUCCUGCUUUAGAAUAGUCUCUUAGCAAAAUCAAAUCCAGGAGAAACUAGAUUAAUGAAUCCACGUGCCCCAAU